rnacentral:rRNA from 1 species
GAUGAACGCUGGCGGCGUGCCUAAUACAUGCAAGUCGAGCGAACGGACGAGAAGCCUGCUUCUCUGAUGUUAGCGGCGGACGGGUGAGUAACACGUGGAUAACCUACCUAUAAGACUGGGAUAACUUCGGGAAACCGGAGCUAAUACCGGAUAAUAUUUUGAACCGCAUGGUUCAAAAGUGAAAGACGGUCUUGCUGUCACUUAUAGAUGGAUCCGCGCUGCAUUAGCUAGUUGGUAAGGUAACGGCUUACCAAGGCAACGAUGCAUAGCCGACCUGAGAGGGUGAUCGGCCACACUGGAACUGAGACACGGUCCAGACUCCUACGGGAGGCAGCAGUAGGGAAUCUUCCGCAAUGGGCGAAAGCCUGACGGAGCAACGCCGCGUGAGUGAUGAAGGUCUUCGGCUCGUAAAACUCUGUUAUUAGGGAAGAACAUAUGUGUAAGUAACUGUGCACAUCUUGACGGUACCUAAUCAGAAAGCCACGGCUAACUACGUG